rnacentral:miRNA from 2 species
UAGGGAUUCUGAGAGGUGGAAG